rnacentral:misc_RNA from 1 species
GUUCUCCCCAAGAGCAGCAACAGUUUGCUUUACCAAAUCCUUCACAAGAACACUAUCAUCUUUUAUGAAAGGCUGCUCCAAAAGAACAAGCUCUCCAAGUCUCUUGGAGACCCUGCCCUCAACAAUCUUCUCCCGUAUAUUUUCAGGCUUGUUCUUAAGGUCUUCUCUCUGCAUUUCCAAGUCUUUUUCCUUGUUGACAGCGCUUUCUGGAAUCUCAUCGAUAGAUACAUAUUGCACCUGUGGGCAUGCUGCAACUUGCAUUGCCAAAUCAUCAACCAACUCCUUAAAUGUUUCACCUCUCCCAACAAAGUCGGUUUCACAAUUAACUUCAAUUAGCACACCAAUGCGAGAGUCAUGAAUGUAUGAACCAAUUCUCCCCUCAGCAGCAAGUCGGCUAGACUUUUUAUCGGCUGUUGAAAGACCCUUCUUUCGGAGGUAUUCCUGUGCCUUCUCAAGAUCCGCUCCAGUUUCGGAGAGGGCUUUCUU